rnacentral:rRNA from 2 species
UCUAGGCCCCGUCAGGAGCCCGAGUUGUAAUUUGGAGAGGACACUUCGGGUUUGGAGAGGAUACUUCGGGUGUGGCUACGGCGUAAGUCCCUUGGAACAGGGCGUCAUAGAGGGUGAGAAUCCCGUCUUAAGUCGUUUGUCCACGCCCAUGCGAAGUUCCUUCGACGAGUCGAGUUGUUUGGGAAUGCAGCUCUAAGUGGGUGGUAAAUUUCAUCUAAAGCUAAAUAUUGGCCGGAGACCGAUAGCGAACAAGUAGAGUGAUCGAAAGGUUAAAAGCACCUUGAAAAGGGAGUUAAAUAGCACGUGAAAUUGUUGAAAGGGAAGCGCUUGCAACCAGACUCGGUCACAGGGGCUCAGCGAGCAUGCGUGCUCGUGUACUCCCCUGUGUUCGGGCCAGCAUCAGUUCUGGCGGUUGGUUAAAGGCCCUUGGAAUGUAUCGUCCUCCGGGACGUCUUAUAGCCAAGGGUGUAAUGCGGCCAGCCGGGACUGAGGAACGCGCUUCGGCACGGAUGCUGGCGUAAUGGUUGUAAGCGACCCGUCUUGAAACACGGACCA